GACAGAGGUGCCAAGCGUUAGGCGGAAUCACUGGGCUUAAAGCGUGUGUAGGCGGAUUUGUAAGUACCUUGUGAAAUCCCACGGCUCAACCGUGGAACUGCUCGGUAUACUGCUUAUCUUGAGCCACUUAGGGGCUACCGGAACAAAUGGUGGAGCGGUGAAAUGCGUAGAUAUCAUUUGGAACGCCAAUGGUGAAAACAGGUAGCUGGGAGUGUGCUGACGCUGAGACACGAAAGCCAGGGGAGCGAACGGG
rnacentral:rRNA from 1 species